GAGUGCGGUGACCCGCACCUGAAUAUAUAGGGUGUGUGGAGGGAACGCGGGGAAGUGAAACAUCUCAGUACCCGUAGGAAGAGAAAAUAAGAAUGAUUCCGGGAGUAGUGGCGAGCGAAACUGGAUGAGCCUAAACCGUGUGCGUGUCAAGCGUGCUGGUGUUGCGUACAUGGUGUUGUGGGGUGUGUGUGUUCGGUUCAGCAUGACCGAGACGCUGAUGAGUGCUUACGUGUAGUCGAAGCUGGUGGGAAACAGUACCGGAGUGGGUGAGAGUCCCGUAGACGAAACGCGUGGCCCCGGUGUGACACGUGUCCCCGAGUAGCACGGAACUCGUGGAAUUCCGUGUGAAUCUGCCAGGACCACCUGGUAAGGCUAAAUACUUCCUGAUGACCGAUAGCGGAUCAGUACCGUGAGGGAAUGGUGAAAAGUACCCCGGGAGGGGAGUGAAAGAGUACCUGAAACCAUGUGCUUACAAUCCGUCAGAGCACCCGUGUUGGUGUGAUGGCGUGCCUUUUGAAGAAUGAGCCUGCGAGUUAGCGGUGCGUGGCGAGGUUAACCUGAUGUGGGGUAGCCGUAGCGAAAGCGAGUCCGAAUAGGGCGAGUCCAGUCGCGUGUCCUAGACCCGAAGCGGAGUGAUCUAGCCAUGGGCAGGGUGAAGCAGCAGUAAGAUGUUGUGGAGGCCCGCACCCACUUCAGUUGAAAAUGGAGGGGAUGACCUGUGGUUAGGGGUGAAAGGCCAAUCAAACUCUGUGAUAGCUGGUUCUCCCCGAAAUGCAUUUAGGUGCAGCGUUGCGUGGUUCUUGCCGGAGGUAGAGCUACUGGAUGGCUGAUGGGCCCCACCGGGUUACUGACGUCAACUAAACUCCGAAUGCCGGUAAGGUUCAGCGUGGCAGUGAGACAGUGGGGGAUAAGCUUCAUUGUCGAGAGGGAAACAGCCCAGACCAUCAACUAAGGCCCCUAAGCGUGUGCUGAGUGGGAAAGGA
rnacentral:rRNA from 1 species